rnacentral:rRNA from 1 species
CUACUAUGAAUUAACGAAUUGUCGACGUGCAGGGCGGACGAAGACCUUUUGUGCACGCUCGACUCUUUUCAUCCAUCUCACCCUUUGUGCAUCACCGGGUGGCCCCCUUAUGACGGACGCUUGCGUCUUCACAUAWAUUGAGUGUAAAAUGUUACUUUUGCGGUCACGCGSAUCUCUACAACUUUCAAAACGGAUCUCUUGGCUCUCGCAUCGAUGAAUAACGAAGCGAAUKGCUAUACGAAUKGUGAAUUGCAAAAUUCAAGGAUUCAUCGAAUCUUUGAACSCCCCUUGCCCCCCUUGGCAUUCCGAGGGGUACGCCCGUUUGAGUGUCGUGAAAUCAUCAACCUUUUUCCCUUUGGAUUGUUUUGAACUUGGAGGUUCCUGCUUGCUUUUUUGAAAGUGAGCUCCUCUCAAGUGAAAUAAAGGGGUCCGCUUUGCUGAUCCUUGAUGUGAUAAGUGUUUCUACAUUUUGGAUUUACCCCUGUCCUGCUCCCAACCGUCUCUGGACAAAUGAUGGUUCCUUGAACCCACCUUGACCUCAAUCGGGUGAGACUACCCGCUGAAACAUAUCA